rnacentral:rRNA from 1 species
AUUGAACGCUGGCGGCAUGCUUUACACAUGCAAGUCGAACGGCAGCACGAAAGAGCUUGCUCUUUUGGUGGCGAGUGGCGAACGGGUGAGUAAUGCAUCGGAACGUACCGAGUAAUGGGGGAUAACUGUCCGAAAGGAUAGCUAAUACCGCAUACGCUUUGAGAAGGAAAGUGGGGGCUCUUCGGACCUCACGUUAUUCGAGCGGCCGAUGUCUGAUUAGCUAGUUGGUGGGGUAAAGGCCUACCAAGGCGACGAUCAGUAGCGGGUCUGAGAGGAUGAUCCGCCACACUGGGACUGGGACACGGCCCAGACUCCUACGGGAGGCAGCAGUGGGGAAUUUUGGACAAUGGGCGCAAGCCUGAUCCAGCCAUGCCGCGUGUCUGAAGAAGGCCUUCGGGUUGUAAAGGACUUUUGUUAGGGAAGAAAAGGAUAGUGUUAAUACCAUUAUCUGCUGACGGUACCUAAAGAAUAAGCACCGGCUAACUACGUG